rnacentral:rRNA from 1 species
UACAGGGGGGGCAAACGUUGCUCGGAAUUAUUGGGCGUAAAGCGCACGUAGGCGGUUCGUUAAGUCGGAUGUGAAAGCCCUCGGCUCAACUGAGGAAGUGCACCCGAAACUGGCGAGCUUGAGUACGAGAGAGGAUCGCGGAAUUCCCGGUGUAGAGGUGAAAUUCGUAGAUAUCGGGAGGAACACCGGUGGCGAAGGCGGCGAUCUGGGUCGAUACUGACGCUGAGGUGCGAAAGCGUGGGGAGCAAACAGG